rnacentral:lncRNA from 1 species
GUAGGGAGAGAGUGGUAGGGAGAGAGUGGUAGGGAGAGAGAGGUAGGGAGAGAGUGGUAGGGAGAGAGAGGUAGGGAGAGAGAGGUAGGGAGAGAGUGGUAGGGAGAGAGAGGUAGGGUGAGAGUGUGUGUGAGAGAGAGGUAGGGAGAGAGAGGUAGGGAGAGAGUGGUAGGGAGAGAGUGUGUGGGAGAGAGUGGUAGGGAGAGAGUGUGUGUGAGAGAGAGGUAGGGAGAGAGUGGUAGGGAGAGAGAGGUAGGGAGAGAGAGGUAGGGAGAGAGUAUGUGGGAGAGAGAGGUAGGGAGAGAGUAUGUGGGAGAGAGAGGUAGGGAGAGAGUAUGUGGGAUCAGCAGCUGGAGGCUCUUUCUUUGUCGAGGGGGCCUCUGUUUAUUUACUGUACUACACUUCCACUCCUCUUUUUCCUCUCAUUCUCCCACCCUCUCUCCUUCUCCCGCUCUGUCUCAUUCCCCCUCUUUCUCAUCCUCUAACUCUCCCACUCCCCCUCUCUGUCAUCCUCCCACUCACGUCUUCCUCCCAUAUGUUUCAAAUGGUUUCUCCCACUCUCCACUUUUACCCUACUCUCCAACUCCGGGACUUCCCUUUCCCACUCCCCCUCUCUCCAUUUCUCUUUUCCAACUCAUUAUCCCCCUUUCCCAAAUGUUUACUCUCCCCUCUUCUACAGUAUGUGUUCUUCUGUCCCUCUCCCAUUCCCAAACCUUUUCCCAUAUGCUCCUAUAUGCUAUGUAUGAUUACCAGAAGAACUAAGAAGAAGAACAUCCAUUGUCCAUCGGUUAUGGUUCCCUGUGGCCAUUUUUAUAUGCAGUAUAAACCAUCACAUAGCAGCAUGCCAGUCAAGUGUAGAGAGUCGGCCUAGAUUACAUCUAAACUCUAUGUUUGCUUCUGUCCCCAUCUUGACUCGGUUGUAUGUUUUGGUAAACAUUCAACUUCUCUGUAAUUGACCUGGUUUGUUGGUGCACUAUGAUGAAC